UGUACUUCUGUUAAUUAAUUAUAGUCUUUCUCUCUUGUUUGAGUAAUUAUUGUCUAUGAUUUUGUUAGCAAAGGCUUCCCGUGAAAAUUUAGUUUGUUGUGCUGCAUGUCCACGAUGAUUUUCGUGAUUUUAGUUUUAGAUACAUAAAAAGGAUUUUGCAUCACAACAUGAAUGACUAUUUCUAAAUAUGAACCUACAAUAACCUCAAAUGAAUGUCGGAUUAAAUUGGAAACAGGGCAGAUAGAGAGUGAGAUGGAGAUUGUUUGUAUGUGCUUUAGAGCCAUCUGUCUCUAAAACGUAGUUUCUUCCCCUUAUUUUUUUUUUAUAAGAAGUAAUUUUAUUGAUGUAUGAAAUUUACAAAAGGUUUGGUGGAACACCCACGCCAAUAGAGUUUACAAGAGAUUUCUCCAAUCAGUCAGAAGAGAUGCAAGAAUAGAGAUUGGAAUAGCUAUAGAGACAUGAAAAAUUGCACUAAGUCAUAGCAGGAUAGAUUAUAUUUUAAAAAGAAUAAAAAACCUAUCUUAAGGCAUGCCUUUUCACUAAGGAGGCGAUUGUUCAUGUUCCUUCCAUGCGAAUUUGUAAAAAUUUCCGAAUAAGAUGCAUCCACAUAAUUCUUUUAAAGUCAGUAAAGAGUGCCAGUGAGGGUGCAUAAAAGAAGGUUCAUAAUAUUUGUUUCAUAGGGUGGCAUUAACCAAAGGAGAGAUAGAUCUGCUUCCUAAAUUUUUCAGCAAAAUGGCAACUAAUAAACUGGCUGGUGUUUCAUCGACAACUUUACAUAAUGGGCAACAAUGAGAGAAUAAAGUCAUAUGUGGGAACUCUGUCACGUGUUAAUAAUUGCAUUAUGGCCUAGAAGCACUCUAGGUAAAGCAAAAGCACUCUAGGUAAAAAUUAUCAUCAUGUCGAGAGACCAAACAAAAUGUUGAAUUGAAUCGUAUUGGUCUCUACUAGGGGUUAUUACUCAUUUUUGUACUUUCUGUUUUAUUUUCCAAUUAUUUCUUCAAUUAAAUAAAAGAAAAUACUAAAUAAUAGUAAGUAUUAUCUUAUCCCAUUACGAAGGGUAUCAUCUCAUAAUUAUCUACGACUGUUUAUGCUAGUACGACCACACAUUAGAGUAUUUCUUUUUUCAGAAACUAGAAAACGCUCAUAGAUAGCCUUUUGGUCUAGGUGCUUGACCAAGAAGCACUUAAACAAUAGUACGAGAGUGAAAGAAAACAUCUGAGUAUUUUAUUAUUAAUCAUUUUUUUUAUAUUGAAGGGUUCAUAAUUGCAUUAAACACACCCCUUGUGCUUUGGCUAUUGUUUGAGGUCUGUACACACCUUGAUAGGUGGAUGGUAUUCUAAUUAAUGUAAGGCUUUUUUCUAUGACUUAAAAGUAAUUAUUUCUGUUAUAAUAAACAGAUUCUGCACAUUUCAGAUGUUGAGGUGCGAGAGACCAAGAUGAUGGGAAGCACUCCCAUUAUCAUUGUAGUUUUCCAAACGCAACAGGUCUACUGCAUACGUGAUGCAAAUGGAUCAAUUAGAGAAGGCGGUAAUAAACACAGAAUUUCAACAAUCUGUCUAAGCGUUGAAGGAGAAGGCAGAAGAACUUAAGAGUUGCUAGGUCGUUUUAAAAACUCAAGUAAUACCUAGACACGUUUUGAGCACGUUUUAGGUUGGUUUGAUACUAAGUUUGUUGCAC